AUUCUCGAAUUCCCGGCCAAUGCACCAAAUGAAAGACCCCCGAAGGGAGACCCUCACACAGACACUCAAGUCCCGGGACAGCCGCGUACCCAAGAAGACACUGAGACCA
rnacentral:pre_miRNA from 7 species